rnacentral:rRNA from 1 species
UACGAAGGGUGCAAGCGUUACUCGGAAUUACUGGGCGUAAAGCGUGCGUAGGUGGUGAGUUAAGUCUGUCGUGAAAGCCCCGGGCUCAACCUGGGAAUGGCGAUGGAUACUGGCUCGCUAGAGUGCGGUAGAGGAGAGUGGAAUUCCCGGUGUAGCAGUGAAAUGCGUAGAGAUCGGGAGGAACAUCAGUUGCGAAGGCAGCUCGCUGGGACGUUACUGACGCUGAGACGCGAAAGCGUGGGGAGCAAACAGG